rnacentral:lncRNA from 1 species
UGAUAAGGAGAGAUUCAUUAGUUGUAUAGCCUUGAGCUUGGGUGAGUUGUGGGCAGGAGGGGAAGUAUUGGGAAGGAAGUAGCAAAGGAGAUGAGAAAGGAAAGGUUUUCCAUCCAAACCUGACUUGGAUCACCCCGAUCCUUGAACUGCACACUUCCUCUGUACCCUUCUCCCCUCUUCAGUGCUCCCAACCUCACCUUCCUUCUGGGGCGUUUGUGCAGAUGGUUGUUAGUUGAGGAGGAAUGUGCUUAAUCUUUUAGGAACCAGUAACCUUCAAGGAUGUCUCUGUGGAUUUCACCGAGGAGGAGUGGGGUUGUUGGACCCUGCUCAGAGGAAGCUGCACACAGCUGUGAUGCUGGAAAACUACAGUCACUUGGUCUCAGUGGUCUUAUGUUCACAGUAUGAUACUGGAGUGUACAUCCUCAGCUGACGCUCAACCCUUUUUGGUGCAUGCGUGUUCUACUUACAGGGGACACCUCUGCUGAUUGGGCUUGGGAUGGAUCCAAUAAUAAGAAUCCAGAUGGAGACUUGAAUGAAAAUUCUGUGGAGAAUCAACAGAAAGGACUUAGGUUAUCUCUCACCUGAAUAGCUUUCCUCCUGGCAAAUUUUGGAAGAGACGGCCAGUACAAUAACUGGGAGUCAGGAUUAAAUUGUGAAUCUUCAGUGUACAGGAACCCUGAACUAGAUCUUCCCCCUUGUCAAAAGUGGGGAGAAGCAUCUUCUCAUAUUUCCAAAAACAAAAGCAGUUUGGUGACUCUUC